AUUGAACGCUGGCGGCAGGCCUAACACAUGCAAGUCGAACGAGUGGCGGACGGGUGAGUAAUGUCUGGGAAACUGCCCGAUGGAGGGGGAUAACUACUGGAAACGGUAGCUAAUACCGCAUACCAUCGGAUGUGCCCAGAUGGGAUUAGCUAGUAGGUGGGGUAACGGCUCACCUAGGCGACGAUCCCUAGCUGGUCUGAGAGGAGGACAAGCCACACUGGAACUGAGAUACGGUCCAGACUCCUACGGGAGGCAGCAGUGGGGAAUAUUGCACAAUGGGCGCAAGCCUGAUGCAGCCAUGCCGCGUGUAUGAAGAAGGCCUUCGGGUUGUAAAGUACUUUCAGCUAGGAGGCGUUACUCGCACAACAAGCACCGGCUAACUCCGUGCCAGCCGCCGCGGUAAUUC
rnacentral:rRNA from 1 species